UACAGAGGGUGCUAGCGUUGUUCGGAAUCAUUGGGCGUAAGGGCGUGUAGGCGGCAUUGCAAGGUGGAUGUGAAAUCCCUCGGCUUAACCAAGGAAGUGCAUCCGAAACUGCAGUGCUUGAGUACUUAAGAGGAUCGCGGAAUUCCCGGUGUAGAGGUGAAAUUCGUAGAUAUCGGGAGGAACACCAGUGGCGAAGGCGGCGAUCUGGGAAGAUACUGACGCUGAGGUGCGAAAGCGUGGGGAGCAAACAGG
rnacentral:rRNA from 1 species